UUGCCAUAAAAGAUUGUCUCCUAAAUCAUAAGAACUAAGAGGGAAUAUUGACAAAAAGCUCUGAGGAUUAUUUGUGGUAUAAUUAUAUAAAAGUUUUAGAUGUUUACAGAGACCCGUAAGAUUUGGACUGGCUCCAGGCAAAGACACAGUGUGACCAAGUCUGAGUAAAUGCCCUCCUCAGCAGAACCUCUGCAGCUGUCAUGAAUAAUGCCUGAAAUGAAAGGCCAAUGAAAGGUAUAGAAGAUGGCCAGGCCAAUCACCAAGGUUCUCUGGUGGAAAGGAAAGGAUGGAAGAGAAAGGCAAAAUGCAAAACCCAUUAUAGGGCUCUGAAAGAAAAGAGGUCUAGAAAAGAGAAAGAAGGCGGCAUUUGCCAUAGACAUCACCAGCAACCCCAACCAAGUCAUAUCCAGAUUCUUCACGUUUGUUUGUUUGCUUGUUUGUUCGCUUGUUUUUCUGGAAUAUACUUUCAGUAUGGUAUGCGAUUCAGAAAAAUAUUGGCCUUGCCUUAAGCUGAAGCUUCCCCUUUCUUGGUUGGUAGAAGCUCAUCCAUGAAAGUAAACAACAUUUGUGGUGAUACACAGGAUUGUUACAGAGACCAACAACACAGAUAGAGUGUACAGUCAGAUUUCUUGCCUGUAGAAGUUACACUGUGACUGUUGAUUCCCUUUAGCUCUUGAGUAUUUUGUAUGUUUUGCAAUCCUCAACCAAAAAUCUCUCAAUGAAUAAGCCAAAUUUUCUGACUUAAAAUCUUAUUCAGAAGGAAUGGUUGGGGAACAACAAACUGAUUCAGUGGGUAAAGGCAUGAUCUAUCCUAGCCCAGUAAUCUGAGUUUGAUUUCUGUAACCCACAGAGUGGAAGGAGAAAGGCAUCUCCUGAGAACAUUCUCCAAAUUCCACGGUGUGCACAGACACACACAUGCAUGCGCACAUGUGUACACACGUUCAAUCAACACCAUAACUUACAUUGUCUUCCACACAAAGUUCUGGCAAGCUUCAAUAGAUUCAUUAGUGGGUUUUUCUUUACACCAACAAAGCUCAAAGAGGUCCUAACAAUGGAGGUAAUCACAGCGUCUUCCCGACCCAAGCUUAGGUUUCCAUCCUUUCACUCCAGACUCCUAUUUCAUUUCUAAGCAACUGGAUUUCCAUGGCAUUCCCAGAACAAAUAAAUAUCUCCCUUUCCCCUGCUUACAUCUUUUGUGUAUAUUUUUCUAUACAACUGCCUGUAUUUAAACUAGUGUGGUAAUGGCAGGGUUCUUCAGGUAAUCUUUCAUUGGACAUAAAUGGUGUAGCAUUAAAAUGCAGAUAAUGUUACCUCAAUUAGAGAACGCUGUGCAAAACUUGAAAAAGACGAAGCUAAAUGUUUGGACUAAACAACUCUAACUAUGCUCUGGCUCUUGUGCCCUGAAGAUUUGAUGUGAAGAUGGUAUGACAAGCUUGGCUUCUCCUGAUGCAGCUGGCACUCCUGAUGCCAAAAGCCAGAGCCUAUGGUAGUGGGAUGAGGAGAGUUGUUCCCAGCACAGUUUGCCUGUCAGUUUCCCAUCCGCCUCGCAGUGCAGCACCCCCUCCGCAAGUUCCCCUAAUGAGAAGUGGAGGACAAUACCAGUAUUGUUGUUUCUACUGGCAAUCGUGUGGAAAGAACAGUCGCUGUUUACCCAAGCAUUUGUAUUACCCAAACUCUGUGGAUAAUUACUUCUAGAGUCCCAGAUUAACUCUGCUCUUUGCCUCAGCACAAAAUAUCUAUUUAGAUAGAAACCCAACAACUUUUCUGUCUCUUAGAGCAUUUUAAUAGUUUACCAUUAAACUAGUUUCAUAUUUAUCAAAA